CCUACGGGAGGCAGCAGUGAGGGAUAUUGCGCAAUGGGCGAAAGCCUGACGCAGCAACGCCGCGUGGGGGAUGAAGGCCUUCGGGUUGUAAAACUCUGUCUUCAGGGAAGAAGAAAGUGACGGUACCUGAGGAGGAAGCCCCGGCUAACUACGUGCCAGCAGCCGCGGUAAAACGUAGGGGGCGAGCGUUGUCCGGAAUUACUGGGCGUAAAGGGCGCGCAGGCGGUCUGUUAAGUCAGAGGUGAAAACUCCCGGCUCAACCGGGGGACUGCCUUUGAAACUGGCGGACUUGAGGGCAGGAGAGGGGAGUGAAAUCCCCGGUGUAGGGGUGAAAUGCAUAGAUAUCGGGAGGA
rnacentral:rRNA from 1 species